rnacentral:rRNA from 1 species
GACGAACGCUGGCGGCGUGCUUAACACAUGCAAGUCGAACGGAAAGGCCCUGCUUUUGUGGGGUGCUCGAGUGGCGAACUGGUGAGUAACACGUGUGUAACCUGCCCUUGACUUUGGUAUAACUUCAGGAAACUUUGGCUAAUACCGUAUAGGAGCUCCUGCUGCAUGUUGGGGGUUGGUAUGUUUCGGCGGUUGGGGAUGGACUCGCGGCUUAUCAGCUUGUUUGUGUGGUAGUGGCUUACCAAGGCUUUGACGGGUAUCCGGCCUGAGAGGGUGACCGGCGACAUUGGGACUGAGAUACGGCACAGAAUACUACGGGAGGCAGCAGUGGGGAAUAUUGCACAAUGGGAGGAAGCCUGAUGAAGAAAAGCAGCGUGCGGGAUGAAGGCCUUCGGGUUGUAAACAGAUUUGGACUGUGACGAAGCGUGAGUGACGGUAAUGGGUAAAGAAGCACCGGCUAACUACGUG